rnacentral:rRNA from 1 species
UACGUAGGUGGCAAGCGUUGUCCGGAUUUAUUGGGUUUAAAGGGUGCGUAGGCGGCUUUGUAAGUCAGUGGUGAAAUAUGGCAGCUCAACUGUCAGGGUGCCAUUGAUACUGCGGAGCUUGAGUACAGAUGAGGUAGGCGGAAUUGACGGUGUAGCGGUGAAAUGCUUAGAUAUCGUCAAGAACACCGAUAGCGAAGGCAGCUUACUGGGCUGUAACUGACGCUGAGGAGCGAAAGCGUGGGUAGCGAACAGG